rfam:Felis catus isolate Cinnamon breed Abyssinian chromosome F2, whole genome shotgun sequence.
GCCUGGGUGGCUCAGUUGGUUGAGCGUCUGACUUCGGCUCAGGUCAUGAUCUCCCGGUCUGAGAGUUCGAGCCCCAUGUCAGGCU